rnacentral:rRNA from 1 species
GGGAAUCUUCCACAAUGGACGCAAGUCUGAUGGAGCAACGCCGCGUGAGUGAAGAAGGCUUUCGGGUCGUAAAACUCUGUUAUUGAAGAAGAACGUGUGUGACAGUAACUGGUCAUGCAGUGACGGUAUUCAAUCAGAAAGUCACGGCUAACUACGUGCCAGCAGCCGCGGUAAUACGUAGGUGGCAAGCGUUGUCCGGAUUUAUUGGGCGUAAAGCGAGUGCAGGCGGUCUUUUAAGUCUGAUGUGAAAAGCCUUCGGCUUAACCGAAGAAGGGCAUCGGAAAACUGGGAGACUUGAGUGCAGAAGAGGAGAGUGGAACUCCAUGUGUAGCGGUGAAAAUGCGUAGAUAUAUGGAAGAACACCAGUGGCGAAAGGCGGCUCUCUGGUCUGUAACUGACGCUGAGGCUCGAAAAGCGUGGGUAGCAAAACAGGAUUAGAUACCCUGGUAGUCCACGCCGUAAAACGAUGAAUACUAAGUGUUGGAGGGUUUCCGCCCUUCAGUGCUGCAGCUAAACGCAUUAAGUAUUCCGCCUGGGGAGUACGACC